UUGAAGAGUUUGAUCCUGGCUCAGGAUAAACGCUAGCGGUGCGCCUAAUACAUGCAAGUCGAACGGCCCGCAAGGGCAGUGGCAAACGGGUGAGUAACACGUGGACAAUCUACCUUGUAGUCGAGGAUACCUCCGAGAAAUCGGAGUUAAUCCUGGAUAAAAAUGGGGGGACCUUUUUAGGUCAUUCCUAUUUAAACCUCGCAAGAGGGCUAUAAGAGGAGCCUGCGCCUUAUCAGCUAGUUGGUAGGGUAAUGGCCUACCAAGGCUAUGACGAGUAGCUGGUGUGAGAGCACGGCCAGCCACAAUGGGACUGAGACACGGCCCAUACUCCUACGGGAGGCAGCAGUAGGGAAUCUUGCGCAAUGGACGAAAGUCUGACGCAGCGACACCGCGUGAAGGAUGAAGGCCCUUGGGUCGUAAACUUCUUUUCUGGAGGAAUAAUUCUGAAGUUACUCCAGGAAUAAGUCACGGCUAACUACGUGCCAGCAGCCGCGGUAAUACGUAGGUGGCAAGCGUUAUCCGAAGUUAUUGGGCGUAAAGCGUCCGUAGGCGGUUUAGUAAGUCGAAGAUGAAAGACCCCGACUCAAUCGGGGAAACAUCUUUGAAACUGCUAGACUAGAGGUUGGGAGAGGCAAGCGGAAUUCUCGGUGUAGGGGUUAAAUCCGUUGAUAUCGAGAGGAACACCAAAAGCGAAGGCAGCUUGCUGGAACAUACCUGACGCUCAAGGACGAAAGCGUGGGGAGCGAAACGGAUUAGAUACCCGUGUAGUCCACGCCGUAAACGAUGGAUACUCGGUGUCCCUUUCUAUUAAGAACAGGAAAUAAAUUUAAAAUUUAAAAUGCAAAGUUCAAAAUUAAGGUAUUCGCUUCGCGAAUGAUUAAUUUUAGAUAUGAUUGCGUAAUCAGUUCACAAUUUUACAUUUUGAUUUUUAAUAUUUUAUUUUUGAUAUAAAUUUCUGUUUUUAAUAGAGGGGGGUGCCUAAGCUAACGCGUUAAGUAUCCCGCCUGGGUAGUACGGCCGCAAGGCUAAAACUCAAAGGAAUAGACGGGGACCCGCACAAGCGGUGGAGCACCUGGUUCAAUUCGAUAGUGAACGCUGAACCUUACCAGGGCUUGACAUCCCAAGGAUCCCCCAGAAAUGGGGGAGUGCCGCAAGGAACUUGGAGACAGGUGCUGCAUGGUUGUCGUCAGCUCGUGCCGUGAGGUGUUCGGUUAAGUCCGUGAACGAGCGCAACCCUUACCCUUAGUUGUAUAUUUCUAAGGGGACUGCCUCGGUUAACGAGGAGGAAGGUGGGGAUGACGUCAAAUCAGCAUGGCCCUUAUGCUCUGGGCGACACAGGUGCUACAAUGGCCGGUACAAAGGGUAGCGAAGCCGUAAGGUGGAGCCAAUCUCAAAAAGCCGGUCUCAGUUCGGAUUGAAGGCUGCAACUCGCCUUCAUGAAGUUGGAAUCGCUAGUAACCGUGGAUCAGAUAUGCCACAGUGAAUAUGUUCCCGGGUCUUGUACUCACCGCCCGUCACGUCAUGGGAGUUGGGGGUACCCGAAGACCCCCGCCUAAGUUUUGGUAAAAUCCAAAAUUUUGGCGGGGGGCUAAGGUAAACUCAGCGACUGGGACGAAGUCGUAACAAGGUAUCCGUAGGAGAACCUGCGGAUGGACCACCUCCUUUCU
rnacentral:rRNA from 1 species